GACGAACGCUGGCGGCGUGCUUAACACAUGCAAGUCGAGCGAUGAAGUUCCUUCGGGAACGGAUUAGCGGCGGACGGGUGAGUAACACGUGGGUAACCUGCCUCAUAGAGGGGAAUAGCCUUUCGAAAGGAAGAUUAAUACCGCAUAAGAUUGUAGUUUCGCAUGAAACAGCAAUUAAAGGAGUAAUCCGCUAUGAGAUGGACCCGCGUCGCAUUAGCUAGUUGGUGAGGUAACGGCUCACCAAGGCGACGAUGCGUAGCCGACCUGAGAGGGUGAUCGGCCACAUUGGGACUGAGACACGGCCCAGACUCCUACGGGAGGCAGCAGUGGGGAAUAUUGCACAAUGGGGGAAACCCUGAUGCAGCAACGCCGCGUGAGUGAUGACGGUCUUCGGAUUGUAAAGCUCUGUCUUCAGGGACGAUAAUGACGGUACCUGAGGAGGAAGCCACGGCUAACUACGUGCCAGCCGCCGCGGUAA
rnacentral:rRNA from 1 species